rnacentral:rRNA from 1 species
UGGACCCGUUACCCGGGUUGCGGACAGUGUCUGGUGGGUAGUUUGACUGGGGCGGUCUCCUCCUAAAGAGUAACGGAGGAGCACGAAGGUUGGCUAAUCCUGGUCGGACAUCAGGAGGUUAGUGCAAUGGCAUAAGCCAGCUUGACUGCGAGCGUGACGGCGCGAGCAGGUGCGAAAGCAGGUCAUAGUGAUCCGGUGGUUCUGAAUGGAAGGGCCAUCGCUCAACGGAUAAAAGGUACUCCGGGGAUAACAGGCUGAUACCGCCCAAGAGUUCAUAUCGACGGCGGUGUUUGGCACCUCGAUGUCGGCUCAUCACAUCCUGGGGCUGAAGUAGGUCCCAAGGGUAUGGCUGUUCGCCAUUUAAAGUGGUACGCGAGCUGGGUUUAGAACGUCGUGAGACAGUUCGGUCCCUAUCUGCCGUGGGCGCUGGAGAACUGAGGGGGGCUGCUCCUAGUACGAGAGGACCGGAGUGGACGCAUCACUGGUGUUCGGGUUGUCAUGCCAAUGGCACUGCCCGGUAGCUAAAUGCGGAAGAGA